CUGCUCGCACCUGCUGUCGGGGAAAUCCACUCCCAAGAGGACUGUCUCAUCCUGGCUCUGAUGUUCUCUUGUGGAAACUACCAGCAGAUUCCAGAUUGGUAGUGAUAACCCAGUGGCUGCCAACUUUGGGAUUCCAUGGUCCAACAGAAUGUUUAAGAUGAUUUUUCGUAAAGGGGGUGUGUAUGGAAAAAAGGGGAGAAUGGGCCUAGCACCCAUUGCCCAUCUUCCAUUUCUGCCCAGGAAAGAGGUUUAAAAAAAAAAAAACAAAAACCUUU